rnacentral:tRNA from 1 species
CCCUGGGUAGUACAAAGAGUUAAUGCACUCAGCUGCUGACUGAAAGGUUGGUGGUUCAAGUCCACUCAGAGGCA